CAUCAAAAACCAAGUCUCUAAGCAAUGGAUGUCUUGGCUCCUCACACGAUGAAGAACGUGGCAUAAUGUGUUAAGUAACCGGAGUUGCAAACAUCAUGACAGGUUAAUCUUUGAAUGCAAAUUGCGCUAAACUCGAUCUCGGUCGAGAAGCAUGGGUGUGACAGUACUACAUCUUUUAUAAUAAUUCUUAUUCUAAGCGAAUAAGUAAAUAAUAUAUAAGACAAACAACACGUAGUCUGCCAUACGCAGAAGACCCGCUGAACUGAAGCAUCUCAUUAAGCGGAGGAAAAGAAACUAACUAGGAUUCCCUUAGUAAAGCGAUCGAAAAGGGAACAGCCCAACGUCUUAAUCCCGCAAGGGAAAUGUAGUCGUUCACCUAUUGCACUGGUCUAAGUCAGAUGGAAUGCUGCGCGA
rfam:Trichomonas vaginalis G3, whole genome shotgun sequence.